rnacentral:rRNA from 1 species
GAUGAACGCUCGCGGCAGGCCUAACACAUGCAAGUCGAGGGAGGAGCUUUCGGGCUUCGACCGGCGUACGGGUGCGUAACGCGUAUACAAUCUGCCUUUCACAUAGGGAUAGCCCGAAGAAAUUUGGAUUAAUACCUAAUGGUAUAUAGGAGUGGCAUCACCUUUAUAUUAAAGCUGAGGCGGUGAAAGAUGAGUAUGCGGUCUAUUAGCUAGUUGGAGAGGUAACGGCUCCCCAAGGCGACGAUAGCUAGGGGUUCUGAGAGGGAUAUCCCCCACACUGGUACUGAGAUACGGACCAGACUCCUACGGGAGGCAGCAGUGAGGAAUAUUGGACAAUGGUCGGAAGACUGAUCCAGCCAUGCCGCGUGCAGGAAGACGGCCUUAUGGGUUGUAAACUGCUUUUGCAGGGGAAGAAUAAGGAGUACGUGUACUUUGAUGACGGUACUCUGUGAAUAAGCAUCGGCUAACUCCGUG